CCAAUGUAGUGGGUCCAACCAGCAUUAAAAAAGAAAGAAAGAAAGAAAGAAAGAAAGAAUAGAAAAUAUCAGAGUACAUAACAAGUAGUAAAGGAAGUCACCAUCUUCGGUGGGGACCUUUCUCAGACAAUCUAUUCUUCCACAAUUCUCCUUGAGCAACCAAGAUAUUAACGGGGAAGACUUGAAGUUUCUAUGCUGCUUGAUCCAGAAUUUUCUCACCAUGGAUGUGGGGUUCUCACCUUUGAAGGAAUGCAUUGUGGACACAAACAAGAACUGUCUGUACUCUUGCAGGAAAUGGAAACGGUACAAA
rnacentral:lncRNA from 1 species